AACUUCAGUGUCAGUAAAUAAGUGGAGUAGGCCCCAGAGUUAUAUGAACACAUUGCCUAUGAAGAAUAGAUGCCCGAUGUCUCUAUUGUUCUUUCUUUUGUACACGUUUAUGGGAUGCUCUAGAAUGCAGUGACUUAUGAGGACGUGCAUGUGAACUUCACUCGAGAGGAGUGGGCUCUGCUGGAUCCUUCUCAGAAGAAGCUCUACAAAGAUGUGAUGCUGGAGACCUACAGGAACCUCAACGCUAUAGGAUUUAAUUGGGACGAGAAACAUAUUCAAGAACAUUGUCCAAGUUCUAGAAGACACAGAAGGUAUCCUUGAAGAUGAAAACCAACCCAUAAUGAUGGGGUAACAGCAUGAAUAUAAGCAAAGUGAUAAAAAUCUUAAGAUCUGAUUCCUCUUUAUAUUUAGACAAAUAGUACCAUUAAAUCAUACAGAUGAAAGUAUUCAUCAGUUUGAUAAAGCUUUCACAUGUGCCAAUUUUUUUCUCAGGCAUGAAAGAAGUCAGAGUGCAGAGAAAGCGUCUGAAUAUACUCAAUGUGAUAAAAUCUUUUUUUUAUGCUCACAGUCAUGCUCAAAGGCAUGAAAGAAUUCAUACAGAAAUGAACCCCCUUGGAAUUAUUCAAUUUGUUGAAACCUUUGCUCAACAUCGUCUCCAACUUCAUAAAGAGCACAAACUGGAAAGAAACUCUAUGAAUGGAAGCAAUGUAGUAAAGCCUUUGAAGAUCAAGUCAUCUUAAAAGCUAUGAAGGAAUUCAUACGGGAGAGAAACCUUAUGAAUGUCAUCAGUGUGAAAAAGCCUUUUCAAGUCACAGUAAUCUCCUACAACCUAAACGGACACAUACUGGAGAGAAAUGCUAUGAAUGUGAUCUGUGUGGUAAAGCCUUUUCACAACAUAGUCGGCUUAAAAGGCAUGGAAGAAUUCAUACUGGAGAGAAACCCUACAGAUGUAAUAACUGUGAGAAAGCCUUUUCACAACAAAUUCACCUCCAGUCACAUAGAAGAAUUCAUACUGGAGAGAAACCCUACAAAUAUAAUAAAUGUGAGAAAGCCAUUUUACAACAUUAUAACCUCCAAAGUCAUAAAAGAAUACAUAUUGGAUAGAAACCCAAUGAAUGUGGUCUGUGUGUGAAAGCCUGUAUAAGUCAAUGGUAUCUUCAAAAGCAUAAAAAAAAAUUCAUACUGUAGAGAAAGCUUAUGAACAUAUAUAAUAUGGUAAAAUCUACAAAUAUCCAUAGUCUUAAUCAUCAUGCACAUAUUUGUAUUGGCAAGAAAUCCUCUGAAUAUUAACUGUGUGAUAAAACCUAUUUCAACACACUUAUCUCCUAAUGCAUCAAUGAGCACAUACUGGGGAGACAGAGGUGUGAGGAACUUAUGAAUGUAUACAAUGUGGUAAAAGUCCAUGCUGCAGGGAAGCCCUACAAAUGUAGUCAUUCUGAUAAAAUUUUGCACUUCACAGUAUGUUUCUGUAAGAGGAAAGUCAUUAGCUUAUACUAAAUCUGUUAAUGUUUGCAUGUCACAGUAAUUUUUCAACUUCUAAGAACUCAUAAGUAGGGCAGUCUAUGACUCUGAUGGCCUUGGUACGAUCUUUAGCCAGUCCACUUACAUUAAGUUACACAAAAUUAUUUAUUCCUGAGAAAAUCUCUAGCAAGUGUCAACUAUCUGCUCAAAUAUGAUGAUGUGUCUUUUUUUUUUUAACAUGUAAAUUCAUAGGUUCAAAAGCCCUUUCAAUUUCAUUGAUAAGGUACUGGUUUAAAUUUCACAGCUCAUUAAAUUUCACAGUCCAUUAAAUAACUCAUUCAUGUGUCAAACUUUGGGUGCAUAUUUGUGUGUUUUCUGUUAAUAUGAUAAAACAUUUUAAGUACUGUAGAAAAAUCCCAAACCAUGGUUUCCACCCCAUCUUUGGCCAUUUGUUUUUCAGGUAAAAGACAUACAGCCUUUAUACUAAGCCUUGAUCAGCACAUGAGCUUGGCAGAUAUUUAUCCUCUAUGCUAUUAUGUCUAUUUCCCAGCCAAUGAUUUCAUCCUAGAAUUUGCCUUGCUUCAUCUAGGCUACGCUUUGUCUGUGGCUAUGUGUGAUUGUGUGAAUGCUGAUUUCCAAGAAAAUUAAGCUGUUGUAUAGCAGAAAAUAUAGGAAGAUGUAAAACCCUGACCUGGUUUCAGGGAAUAAACUUUUCUUAAUUGCUUGGCCAUGUGUCUAGGCAUGUAAAUAUUUUACAGUGUUUUACAUCAUCUUGAUGUCAGAAAAUUGAAAACACUUAUACAAGAGAAAAACCCUAUGUAUGUUGAUGAUCUCAUUAUAGACUGUAGACACCACAGUUGUUUUUGAUAUUAAGGAAAAAACUCUGUUUCAUUUCUUCUUCAUCAUGGCCUUGAAAGAAGUAAAUUAUUUCCCAUGUUCAGACAAACAGGAGGAGAGGCGUGUUCUUCCGUGUGCCUUGUUCCCCUGCUCUCUGUUCCUCUCUGUUGCGAGCAAGCUGAAAGAUUGGUCUGAUUUGUUUUGAUCUCUGCUGCCAGGGGCCUUAGGGCAAUGUCAGCGAUCUACAACGUGGCGACAUGUCUCAGUCGCGUUGCAGCCGAAGCUGACCUGCCGGAGUUCCUCUGAGGCAAGGCUGGACACUGCAAUCAGUUUUAAGAUGAUCAUCCUGAGGGCUGGCAAUAUGACUCAGUGGGUAAGAGCACUGACUGCUCUUAUGAAGGUCCUGAAUUCAAAUCCUAGCAACAUGGUGGCUCACAACCACCCGAAGUGAGAUCUAACACCCUCUUUUGGUGCGUCUGAAGUCAGCUACAGUGUACUUAUUUAUAAUAAUAAAUAAAUCUUAAAAACAUAAAAAAGAUCCUCCUGAGAG
rnacentral:lncRNA from 1 species